GUCCUUGCUGUAAACGAUGUAUACUUGCUGUAACUGGAAUCAACCCUAGUUGUGCCGUAGCUAACGUGUUAAGUAUACCGCCUGGGGAGUACAGUCGCAAGGCUGAAACUCAAAAGAAUUGACGGGGACCCGCACAAGCAGUGGAGCAUGUGGUUUAAUUCGAUGCUACGCGAAGAACCUUACCCAGACUUGACAUGCAGUGGACCGGUCCAGAAAUGGGCCUUUCUUUCGGGACCGCUGCACAGGUGCUGCAUGGCUGUCGU
rnacentral:rRNA from 1 species